rnacentral:miRNA from 1 species
UAUCUUUGAACAAACAGUUGA